rnacentral:rRNA from 1 species
GACGAACGCUGGCGGCGUGCCUAACACAUGCAAGUCGAGCGAGUGAAUUUCCUUCGGGAUUGAAGCUAGCGGCGGACGGGUGAGUAACACGUGGGCAACCUGCCUCAUAGAGGGGAAUAGCCUUUCGAAAGGAAGAUUAAUACCGCAUAAGAUUGUAGCUUCGCAUGAAGUAGCAAUUAAAGGAGUAAUCCGCUAUGAGAUGGGCCCGCGGCGCAUUAGCUAGUUGGUGAGGUAACGGCUCACCAAGGCAACGAUGCGUAGCCGACCUGAGAGGGUGAUCGGCCACAUUGGGACUGAGACACGGCCCAGACUCCUACGGGAGGCAGCAGUGGGGAAUAUUGCACAAUGGGGGAAACCCUGAUGCAGCAACGCCGCGUGAGUGAUGACGGC